rnacentral:rRNA from 1 species
GACGGAGGGUGCGAGCGUUGUUCGGAUUGACUGGGCGUAAAGGGCGUGUAGGCGGUUCCGCAAGUCCUGUGUGAAAUCUUCGGGCUCAACUCGAAGUCUGCACGGGAAACUGCGGGGCUUGAGUGUGGGAGAGGUGAGUGGAAUUCCCGGUGUAGCGGUGAAAUGCGUAGAGAUCGGGAGGAACACCAGAGGCGAAGGCGGCGACCUGGACAGGCACUGACACUCAACUACGAAAGCGUGGGGAGCAAACAGG